rnacentral:rRNA from 1 species
UACGAAGGGGGCUAGCGUUGUUCGGAAUUACUGGGCGUAAAGGGCUCGUAGGCGGCCAACUAAGUCGGACGUGAAAUCCCUCAGCUUAACUGGGGAACUGCGUCCGAUACUGGAUGGCUUGGAUUUGGGAGAGGGAUGCGGAAUUCCAGGUGUAGCGGUGAAAUGCGUAGAUAUCUGGAGGAACACCGGUGGCGAAGGCGGCAUCCUGGACCAAUAUUGACGCUGAGGAGCGAAAGCCAGGGGAGCAAACGGG